AUUGAACGCUGGCGGCAUGCUUUACACAUGCAAGUCGAACGGUAACAGGCCGCAAGGUGCUGACGAGUGGCGAACGGGUGAGUAAUGCAUCGGAACGUGCCCAGUCGUGGGGGAUAACGGCUCGAAAGAGCAGCAAAUACCGCAUACGAUCUAUGGCUGAAAGCGGGGGACCGUAAGGCCUCGCGCGAUUGGAGCGGCCGAUGUCAGAUUAGGUAGUUGGUGGGGUAAAGGCUCACCAAGCCAACGAUCUGUAGCUGGUCUGAGAGGACGACCAGCCAGACUGGGACUGAGACACGGCCCAGACUCCUACGGGAGGCAGCAGUGGGGAAUUUUGGACAAUGGGGGCAACCCUGAUCAGCAAUGCCGCGUGCAGGAAGAAGGCCUUCGGGUUGUAAACUGCUUUUGUACGGAACGAAACGGUCCGGGUUAAUACCCUGGGCUAAUGACGGUACCGUAAGAAUAAGCACCGGCUAACUACGUGCCAGCCGCCGCAGUAACAC
rnacentral:rRNA from 1 species